CACUAUACAUUUCAGGUGAAUCUGUGAAUAUCCUGAAAUGGUCUACAAGUUGAGUUGCUUCUGAGGACUUUUCUGGUGAACAGAUCCUUCCAGAGAUCUGUGACCAGAAAGAGAAAGUUGCUAGCUAUGCAGCUGUGGUGUUGCACACAAUGCUGUGGUCUUGGUGUUACAGUAAAAAAAAAGCUACAACUGAUGGAGCCUCUGCUAUGACGUGUGUUGUCACACAGCCCACCGCGCUUUAACCCUCCCAGCCUCCCUCCUAGCUAUUAAUAAUCCUAGCUAUUAAUAAUCCCCCAUUUCACAUGAGAAAAUUGUGUUGCACAGAAGCUGACGAACUGGCCUCAGUUUUGUAGCCAGGGAACGGUGGUGCCACCUUCCUCCACCUCUUUCUUUACAUGACAUCCUGCUGCUCCCCAGCCGGCUGCCUAUCCGUACCUGUUUCUUGUUAUUUUAAACAUGCCACAUAAUUCAAACUAUGAUUAUUUUAUUCUGAAGAAAAGAUGGCCUCAAAAAAAGCUGUUGAGAGCAGCUCUAAAGGCAGAAGAAAUCUGUGAGAAGUGAACCUGAAUCCAUCAGGCCAAAGCAACAGCCGAGGAAGAAGAGAGGUGACCAGCAGGGAGAAGCCUGAGCUUUGUGUGAUGCCCUGUAGAUGUGGUCUUUCCAGAAGAACAUCGUCCACAGUGACCAACCAAAAAUGUGGGGAGCACGGAGAAGAAAAGGAAACAAACUCUUCCUUCCUGUCCUGUGCCUGUAGCAG
rnacentral:lncRNA from 1 species